GAUGAACGCUGGCGGCGUGCCUAAUACAUGCAAGUCGAGCGAUGAGGCUCCUUCGGGAGUACAUCAGCGGCGAACGGGUGAGUAACACGUGGGUGACUUGCCCCGAAGAUGGGGAUAACCUCUGGAAACGGGGGCUAAUACCCAAUGUGCUCGGUGAUUCGGUUCAUCGAGUAAAGCUCCGGCGCUUCGGGAGAGGCCUGCGGCCCAUCAGCUAGUUGGUAGGGUAACGGCCUACCAAGGCAGAGACGGGUAGGGGGCGUGAGAGCGCGGACCCCCACACUGGCACUGAGAUACGGGCCAGACUCCUACGGGAGGCAGCAGUAAGGGAUAUUGCGCAAUGGACGAAAGUCAGACGCAGCGACGCCGCGUGGGCGAUGAAGGCCUUCGGGUUGUAAAGCCCUUUUAUGGGGGAAGAGAAAAAGGACGGUACCCCAGGAAUAAGUCCCGGCUAACUACGUGCCAGCAGCCGCGGUAAAACGUAGGGGACAAGCGUUAUCCGGAUUCACUGGGCGUAAAGAGCGUUGAGGCGGUUCCGUAAGUUGGGCGUGAAAGCUCCGGGCUUAACUCGGAGAUGUCGUUCAAUACUGCGGGGCUUGAGGACAGCAGAGGAAGGUGGAAUUCCCGGUGUAGUGGUGAAAUGCGUAGAUAUCGGGAGGAACACCCGUGGCGAAGGCGGCCUUCUGGGCUGUUCCUGACGCUGAAGGCGAAAGCUAGGGGAGCGAACGGGAUUAGAUACCCCGGUAGUCCUAGCUGUAAACGAUGGAUGCUGGGUGUGGGGGGUGUAAAUUCCCUCUGUGCCGAAGCAAACGCGUUAAGCAUCCCGCCUGGGGGACUACGGCCGCAAAGGCUAAAACUCAAACGAAUUGGAGCGGGGGCCCGCAACAAGCAGCGGAGCGUGUGGUUAAUUCGAUGCUACACGAAGAACCUUACGCUGGGUUUGACAUGCACGUGGUAGGGAACCGAAAGGGGACCGACCUUCGGGAGCGUGCACAGGUGCUGCAUGGCUGUCGUCAGCUCGUGCCGUGAGUGUCGGGUUAAGUCCCGUAACGAGCGCAACCCUUGCCCUUAGUUACAAGUGUCUAAGGGGGACUGCCCGGGACAACUGGGAGGAAGGUGGGGAUGACGUCAAGUCAGCAUGGCCUUUAUAUCCAGGGCUACACACACGCUACAAUG
rnacentral:rRNA from 1 species